CCUACGGGGGGCUGCAGUGAGGAAUAUUGGUCAAUGGGGGAAACCCUGAUGCAGCGACGCCGCGUGAGUGAAGAAGUAUCUCGGUACGUAAAGCUCUAUCAGCAGGGAAGAAAAUGACGGUACCUGACUAAGAAGCCCCGGCUAACUACGUGCCAGCAGCCGCGGUAAUACGUAGGGGGCAAGCGUUAUCCGGAUUUACUGGGUGUAAAGGGAGCGUAGACGGCAGCACAAGUCUGGAGUGAAAUCCCGGGGCUUAACCCCGGAACUGCGUUGGAAACUGUGAGGCUGGAGUGCAGGAGGGGUAAGCGGAAGUCCGGGUGUAGCGGUGAAAUGCGUAGAUAUUAGGAAGAACACCGGUGGCGAAGGCGGCUUACUGGACUGUAACUGACGUUGAGGCUCGAAAGCGUGGGGAGCAAACAGGAUUAGAUACCCGAGUAGUC
rnacentral:rRNA from 1 species